rnacentral:rRNA from 1 species
AUACGAGGGGUGCAAGCGUUAUUCGGAAUUACUGGGCGUAUAGGGUGUGUAGACGGCAUAUUAAGUCUGUUGUUAAAUGCUCCGGCUUAACCGGAGAACUGCGGUGGAAACUGAUGUGCUUGAGGAUGGAAGAGAGAAGUGGAAUUCCCGGAGUAGCGGUAAAAUGCGUGGAUCUCGGGAGGAACACCAAUGGCGAAGGCAGCUUCUUGGUCCAUUCCUGACGUUGAGACACGAAAGCGUGGGGAGCAAACAGGAUUAGAAACCCCAGUAGUCC